rnacentral:rRNA from 1 species
GACGAACGCUGGCGGCGUGCUUAACACAUGCAAGUCGAACGGAAAGGCCCUGCUUUUGUGGGGUGCUCGAGUGGCGAACGGGUGAGUAACACGUGAGUAACCUGCCCUUGACUUUGGGAUAACUUCAGGAAACUGGGGCUAAUACCGGAUAGGAGCUCCUGCUGCAUGGUGGGGGUUGGAAAGUUUCGGCGGUUGGGGAUGGACUCGCGGCUUAUCAGCUUGUUGGUGGGGUAGUGGCUUACCAAGGCUUUGACGGGUAGCCGGCCUGAGAGGGUGACCGGCCACAUUGGGACUAAGAUACGGCCCAGACUCCUACGGGAGGCAGCAGUGGGGAAUAUUGCACAAUGAGCGGAAGCCUGAUGCAGCAACGCCGCGUGCGGGAUGACGGCCUUCGGGUUGUAAACCGCUUUCGCCUGAGACGAAGCGUGAGUGACGGUAAUGGGUAAAGAAGCACCGGCUAACUACGUG